GCUUUCUGGGCGCUCGUCAGGAAUUCCGCUAGUUCUGAACUAUUUACAGUUAGAAAAAGUUCACUACUAGCAGAACUCGGCCGCGCGCUCUUCACUCUU
ensembl:miRNA aca-mir-726 aca-mir-726